AUUGAACGCUGGCGGCAGGCCUAACACAUGCAAGUCGAGCGGAUGAAGGGAGCUUGCUCCUGGAUUCAGCGGCGGACGGGUGAGUAAUGCCUAGGAAUCUGCCUGGUAGUGGGGGAUAACGUCCGGAAACGGGCGCUAAUACCGCAUACGUCCUGAGGGAGAAAGUGGGGGAUCUUCGGACCUCACGCUAUCAGAUGAGCCUAGGUCGGAUUAGCUAGUUGGUGGGGUAAAGGCCUACCAAGGCGACGAUCCGUAUCUGGUCUGAGAGGAUGAUCAGUCACACUGGAACUGAGACACGGUCCAGACUCCUACGGGAGGCAGCAGUGGGGAAUAUUGGACAAUGGGCGAAAGCCUGAUCCAGCCAUGCCGAGUGUGUGAAGAAGGUCUUCGGAUUGUAAAGCACUUUAAGUUGGGAGGAAGGGCAGUAAGUUAAUACCUUGCUGUUUUGACGUUACCAACAGAAUAAGCACCGGCUAACUUCGUG
rnacentral:rRNA from 1 species